UACGAAGGGGGCUAGCGUUGCUCGGAAUCACUGGGCGUAAAGGGCGCGUAGGCGGCGUUUUUAAGUCGGCUGUGAAAGUCAGGGGCUCAACCCUUGAAAGCCGGCCGAUACUGUCGGACUAGAGUCCGGAAGAGGCAAGUGGAAUUCCCGGUGUAGCGGUGAAAUGCGCAGAUAUCGGGAGGAACACCAAUGGCGAAGGCAGAUCUCUGGGCCGUAACUGACGCUGAGGAGCGAAAGCAUGGGGAGCGAACAGG
rnacentral:rRNA from 1 species